rnacentral:rRNA from 1 species
GCAACCCUUGUCACUAGUUGCCAUUCAUUUAGUUGGGCACUCUAGUGAGACUGCCGGUGACAAACCGGAGGAAAGGUGGGGAUGACGUCAAGUCCUCAUGGCCCUUAUGGUAGGGCUUCACACGUCAUACAAUGGUCGGUACAGAGGGUUGCCAAGCCGCGAGGUGGAGCCAAUCCCUUAAAGCCGAUCGUAGUCCGGAUCGUAGUCUGCAACUCGACUACGUGAAGUCGGAAUCGCUAGUAAUCGCAGAUCAGCAUGCUGCGGUGAAUACGUUCCCGGGUCUU